CUCAGUGUUCAUUUCGAAAACGAACGGCUCAUUCAAACGCACAUCCAUCACGGCGCAAAAGCCUUUUCGAACAGCGUCCGUCAUCGUCUGACAGAUCAUCGACGAUCAGGCAACCCAUCCAGAGACAAACGUCACCGUACGAAGCGCCAUUCUCUUCGUUUUACCACGCGCGAAAAGUGGGGAAAAAAUUUGUUCGCUGCAAAUUAGGGCGCUAGGCGCCGUGUUUCAUUAACGCCUAUUUGAGGCCUAGUGAGUGUAUAACGAACGGCGCAAACUAAUCAUUCGCCGGUUCGUAACAGACGGAAAAAACUGUGUACGCGGAAUAGAAACAGGCGCGGCAGUAGGCAAAACAGAACAAAAUCUCAUCCGGUGAACUAAACGCUGUGGGUUGGCUCGAUCACUUUCCGUCGGAUCACAGGAGUGGAAAUCAGUCCCGAAAAAGGCAAUAAAACCAAGAUCGUAUGCAAGCUCAUGCACGGUCACGGCAACGCGGGUAGAAUCGACGAGGUCCACGCUACUAGGAUAAAAAGCACCCCAUCGGGGUGUUUUUGCCGAGCCAGUCCACGGUCAGGUUGCACGGAUUAUUUCGUCUAAGCUGUCAGAUUAUUCCUACCGGACGGGUAGACGGCAAGUACCGGCACAAAGAGCGGGUGGUCGGAAGGGACCAGAAACAGCCCAGCCGGUUGAGAGCAUCCUCUUCGACGACGGGGGAGAUCCAGUGACUCGGAGGGACCCCAUCCAGUAGUUGGUCGCACUGCACGGCCAGAGGGGUCCUCAGCAGAGCACUUUCGAGGCGAGCUGAGGGAAAAAUGCGUGCGUGGUGCGGCGGCAGACGUCCGUCCGUAAUGAGAAGGUAGUGCCGGGGGACGCCCCGAACACAAGUAGGGUACCGUGAGUACCGAGAAGUACUGUAAGUAGAAAACUGUUAGAUUGUAAGAGAUGAGGAAAGAAAAGGGAAAGUAGAGAGAAUGUAGGAGGAAGAAAGGAAAGGUUGGAAGAAGGGGAAAGACCCUAAAUACAUGUAUGAAAAUUUAGAUUUGUGGCGUUUUGUUUUGGUUGGUGCUUUGGCCCUCCAGUUUUGUGCAUUUUAGUCCGCUUUGGUAGUUCCGCUCUACCCGCU